rnacentral:tRNA from 1 species
GGCGAUGUAGCUCAGCUGGCUAGAGCGAUUGGUUCAUACCCAAUAGGUCGGGGGUUCGAUCCCCUCCGUCGCUACCA